rnacentral:rRNA from 1 species
UACGGAGGAUGCGAGCGUUAUCCGGAUUUAUUGGGUUUAAAGGGUGCGCAGGCGGCACGGCAAGCCGGCGGUCAAAUCGCGGGGCUCAACCCCGCCCAGCCGUCGGAACUGCCGGGCUAGAGUGGGCGAGAAGUGCGCGGAAUGCGUGGUGUAGUGGUGAAAUGCAUAGAUAUCACGCAGAACUCCGAUUGCGAAGGCAGCGUACCGGCAUCCAACUGACGCUGAGGCAUGAAAGCGUGGGGAUCAAACAGG